rnacentral:lncRNA from 1 species
AUGGAGCAAUGAUGUCAGCAAGAUGGAACACUAGGAGGUUCCAGCCCUCAACUCUACAUAGAAACAGGUGAACUGCUGGAUGAUAGGGCCACUGGAGGAGAAGCAGGUUGGAAGGUGGACAGUGGCAGCAGAUGUUAAAUGAUACACUCUAAAUUGGAAAAAAUGGUCCAUUAUAGAAAAAUACAAGACAAAAUUUCAAAGACACAAGCUCAAAUGUCAAUGAAAAUUCAUGUCUCUCUAGAAAAUGAAAAGGUACCAGUUACCUGUAAUGGGUUGGAACCUAGACAGAGAAAAUACAGUCUCUUCAUCUGGAAUAAAUCAAGAAAACUGAAGCCAUUUGAUGUCUUCUGAUUUCAAGGUAUUUUAAUAUGGGAAUUGGGGAUUUAGAACUGUUGUAAAAGCUAAGAAUGAAAGUCAGGUCAACUGUUAUCCAUGAUUUCAGCUGGG